rnacentral:rRNA from 1 species
UGGGAAUUUUGGACGAAUUGGGCGAAAGCCUGAUCCAGCAAUGCCGCGUGUGUGAAGAAGGCCUUCGGGUUGUAAAGCACUUUUGUCCGGAAAGAAAUCCUUGGCUCUAAUACAGUCGGGGGAUACGGUACCGGAAGAAUAAGCACCGGCUAACUACGUGCCAGCAGCCGCGGUAAUACGUAGGGUGCAAGCGUUAAUCGGAAUUACUGGGCGUAAAGCGUGCGCAGGCGGUUUGCUAAGACCGAUGUGAAAAUCCCCGGGCUCAACCUGGGACUGCAUUGGUGACUGGCAGGCUAGAGNAUGGCAGAGGGGGGUAGAAUUCCACGUGUACAGUGAAAUGCGUAGAGAUGUGGAGGAAUACCGAUGGCGAAGGCAGCCCCCUGGCCAAGUACUGACGCUCAUGCACG